AUUUAAAAAUCUCUUAUCAAUCU
rnacentral:snRNA from 1 species